GUCUAUGGGAAUUAAUAGGAGGAGGCUAUCUUAUCAACCAUUAUCAACAUUGUCUUCUCUUGUUAUCCUAUGAAUCUACAACCUUACCCUUAUUCCCUAACAACAAUUUCUCUCCCAAAAUUUUUGCAAUUUUAAACUUUAAAGAAAAAUCCUCAAGUUCUUCUAGCUCCUACUAUACCUAUAAAAUCCAGUGCACUGAGCAAUUUCAGAAGUUUUUUGCUUGAAGAAAAUACUUGAUUUCUGCUUAGAUUCCAAUCCAGUAUGGGCCUUUCACAGUAUCCAACUCCAGCAGAUGCAGGAGUGCUCUGUGUGAUUCUAAUGAACACAGCCAUAUCCAUCUCCGUUCUCAAGGAGAUAGUCCGAUCAAUCCUUCACGUGAUUGGCAUCCGCAUUGCAGCAUGGGACGACUAUUCUAUCGAAGGAGGACCCUUGGAUCCGUUUGAAUGUCGUGGAACCCCAUCCGAGUCAUACAUGGAGGAAUUCAGAAGUCGUACUCCUGCAAUUCGUUAUGACUCGAUCUGUGUCUCUAACCACGCUGAGAAAGAGUGCUCGGUCUGCCUAACGGAUUUUGAGCCUGAUGCAGAAAUAAACCAUCUUUCCUGUGGCCAUGUUUUCCACAAGCAAUGUCUAGAGAAAUGGCUCAAGUAUUGGAACGUAACUUGUCCGCUUUGCAGGAAUUACAUGAUGCCUCAAGAAGGCGAAGAAGAUACUUGUCCUAUGUGAGCUACAAGUUUUAUUAGGCUUAUAACACUAUAUACAUCUGAGGAUGCGGUGGUGUGUACAGCUUAGUAGUGUGUACAGGCCGAGUACAACAUGCACGGUUGAUCUUUGACAUUGGAUAGUUCUAUAGGUUUUCAUAUUUGUAAUGCUUGGCGUCCUCUCGGAGUGACGGGUCUCUUUGCUGAGACCAAAAUAUUUCAUACAUUCUUGUACAUAUUAUAUGAAAGAGUUUCUUGUUGUUAUGUUUUUC